rnacentral:lncRNA from 1 species
CAAGAUUCCGGGGAGCGCGUCUUUCUCCUGUCUCCUCCCCCAGAUGUGCGGGUGUCCUUCCCCCAACACCAUGGAAGAAGGGGUCCAGGAAGGAAAUGUCACACUUGCCUGUGCCCCCCACCUGGUCUGCAGAAAGGCAGAGAAGACCGACUCAUGGAGGACAAAGACGGCCUCUGUCUGGAGCUUCUAUGAGUUACAUAAUGUAUAAAUGAUUUCACUACAAAGCAGUGAAAUUUUUGAAAGUUAACCAGUGGCAGAAGUGUCAGGACAGUCUGCACGGGCAAGAAUGAUAUCUAAAUCACUACUCAGGCACAGGAGAGAGCAGGACUGGCAUGUCUGGCAGGAAUGAGCUAUGGAAGAUGGGAGAGAAGAUUGAGGAUGGAUGACUAAGAGCAAUGAAAGCUUACAAAGAAACCCAAGAAAGCGAAAUAUUUGCUUACGAAUAAACAGGAAGGGAAGAAAU